GCCCAGCUAGCUCAGUUGGUAGAGCAUAAAACUUUUAAUCUCAAGGUCAUGGGUUUAAGCCCCAUGUUGGGUG